rnacentral:rRNA from 2 species
UACGGGGGGGGCAAGCGUUGUUCGGAAUUACUGGGCGUAAAGGGCUCGUAGGUGGCCAACUAAGUCAGACGUGAAAUCCCCAGGCUCAACUUGGGAACUGCGUCUGAUACUGGAUGGCUUGAAUUCGGGAGAGGGAUGCAGAAUUCCAGGUGUAGCGGUGAAAUGCGUAGAUAUCUGGAGGAAUACCGGUGGCGAAGGCGGCAUCCUGGACCGAGAUUGACACUGAUGAGCGAAAGCCAGGGGAGCAAACGGG